UACGUAGGGACCAAGCGUUGUUCGGAUUUACUGGGCUUAAAGGGUGCGUAGGCGGCGCGGAAAGUAGGGUGUGAAAUCCCUCGGCUUAACCGAGGAACAGCGCUCUAAACUACCGUGCUCGAGGGAGAUAGAGGUGAGCGGAACUUAGGGUGGAGCGGUGAAAUGCGUUGAUAUCCUAAGGAACACCGGUGGCGAAAGCGGCUCACUGGAUCUCUUCUGACGCUGAGGCACGAAAGCUAGGGGAGCGAACGGG
rnacentral:rRNA from 1 species